CGAGUAGUCGUCAGUGCGUAGAAGAAAGACUUCGGUAGGUUGGAGGAAACGUACACGGCAACAUCGAGCUUGGACCGAAAAUCGAACUGCCGUGUGAUGGUAGCAGCUCCUAUGGAUCACAGUGGAACAGCGGGUGAUGGUCCUGUGAACGAGAGGGUUGUCAAGACAGCGAGAUGCGUCUACACGUUGCAGAAUACUUUGAAUGUAAAUAUGGAUACCACCCAACUUCUUAUCCAGUGGGUAUCUGGAGUAACCGAGUGGUUAAAGUGGCCGGGGCAUGAAGCAGACCACUCACGUCCAUGUAGUGAGGAAGUCAGCUGUACUUUCA